CGCUUGGAGCUGUGGCCGGUUUUCUUUCCCUCUCCCGUUCCAUUGCAAAGCGUAGGCGCGUUCAGAGAGAAGGACUAAAAACAAAGUGGGGCGGAAGAGAUAAAGCUUUCUCUGUUGAAAUUGAGACAUUGGCCUAGAAGUGACAGAUUAAGCCCACAGAACUGGAUACAUCAAUCAAUGAAAAAAAAUCAGCAGGAAAAACAAAGUCAUGAGUGCAGUACUCCAGAGAAUACCCAACACAAAACAGGAUAAUCUAUGUGCUCAGAAUUUUAUGAACAUCAUCUUCCAGUCUAUUGAAGAAUCCUCCAUCAUGUGAUAAAGUCUGAGAAGAACUCAAUUCCUGUCAAAAAUGAAUUAAGAUUUACUAUCAAUCAACACAAAAGUGCAUGCAUGCAUUUAAUAAACCUGGUCAGCCACUAGAAGGAUAGAGAAUGAAAAAAAAAUAACAUAGAGACAAUCAACCAUCUGAUUCUUCUCUAUCUCCAGAAGAUAACCAGUGGAGAUACAUUUGCAAAUGUCCUUUUCUUUACUUCAUAUUUUUUGAGUUGGGUAUUGCUUGAUUUUUAAAUUAUUUUUUAUCCAUGUACCAUACAAUUUACCCAUUUAAUUUGCACAUUUAAAUGGUUUUUAAUAUAUUCACAGAGUUGUACAACCAUAACCCAUUUAUAAAGUUACAUCAAGCCCAAAAAGAAACCCAGAACUUAUUAGCAUCAUUUCCCAUUCCCUCCUAAUCCCUCCCCUCAGCUGUUCCCUAGGCAACACUAAUUACUUUCUGUCUGUAUAGAUUUGGCUAUUCUGGACAUCUGAUAUAAAUGGAAUCAUACCGUAUAAGGUCUUUUGUGACUGGCUUCUUUCACUUUGCAAA